UACGGGGGGGGGCAAGCGUUGUUCGGAAUUACUGGGCGUAAAGGGUUUGUAGGUGGCUUGCUAAGUCAGACGUGAAAUCCCUCGGCUCAACCGGGGAACUGCGUCCGAUACUGGUGGGCUCGAAUCCGGGAGAGGGAUGUGGAAUUCCAGGUGUAGCGGUGAAAUGCGUAGAUAUCUGGAGGAACACCGGUGGCGAAGGCGGCAUCCUGGACCGGUAUUGACGCUGAGUGCGCGAAAGCCAGGGGAGCAAACGGG
rnacentral:rRNA from 1 species